UACGUAGGGGGCAAGCGUUGUCCGGAAUCAUUGGGCGUAACGAGCGCGUAGGCGGUCCGGUAAGUCCGCUCUGAAAGUCCGGGGCUCAACCCCGGGAGGCGGGCGGAUACUGUCGGGCUAGAGUCCGGAAGAGGCGAGUGGAAUUCCUGGUGUAGCGGUGAAAUGCGCAGAUAUCAGGAGGAACACCAAUGGCGAAGGCAGCUCGCUGGGACGGUACUGACGCUGAGGCGCGAAAGCGUGGGGAGCAAACAGG
rnacentral:rRNA from 1 species